GUUCUGCUGAAGUUCUUUAAGGAUGUUGGCUGCGUCCUCCUCCAGCUUAUCACCUCCCAUAGACUCAAACAUUUUCUCCAAUUGAACUCUCAGCUGCUGUAUGUUGUUCAUUAAAAUACAGGCCUAUGAUAAAGUGUGAGAUUCGUUACAAAGGCCAACAAAAUGCUUAUCUGAAGAGUUUACCGUCCAGCAAGACCAUCUAGUCGAUAGUAAUGUACUUACAAUUCGUUCGUCCCUCAUAUGCUCUGGAAACUCCAUUUUCACAAUAUCAGCAUAGGCAAUUAGCACUUUUACGAUUGUUUUAGCAAAACGCCUCAUGUAACGUUUCCAAAUUUCUGGAUCUGGACACUCGAGCUUGCUAACAACAUCGAAA